UCCUACGGGAGGGCCAGCACGUGGGGAAUAUUGUACAAUGGGCGCAAGCCUGAUCCAGCCAUGCCGCGUGUGUGAAGAAGGCCUUCGGGUUGUAAAGCUCUUUNHGCAGGGAGGAAAAGUUAUUAKYUARUACCUUAUAAGCCMUGACGGUACCUGCAGAAUAAGCACCGGUUAAUUCCGUGCACAGCAGGCCGCGUAUAAUA
rnacentral:rRNA from 1 species